GUGUCAGUGCUGUUUACAGUCGGUUUUAUUAUUUUAUUCUUUCAAGGCACCAACAAGAAUACACAGAAGUGUUUGGUUUUCGUCUUCUUACAUAGAAAGGACAAGAUAAUCGUCGGAGUUUGUGUUUGAACGCUCCCCAAUGAUGAGUUAUGCUGAAAAGCCAGAGGACAU